rnacentral:rRNA from 1 species
CACGUAGGGUGCGAGCGUUGUCCGGAAUUAUUGGGCGUAAAGAGCUCGUAGGCGGUGUGUCGCGUCGGCCGUGAAAACCUGGGGCUUAACUCUGGGCGUGCGGUCGAUACGGGCAUCACUGGAGUUCGGCAGGGGAGACUGGAAUUCCUGGUGUAGCGGUGAAAUGCGCAGAUAUCUGGAGGAACACCGGUGGCGAAGGCGGCAUCCUGGACCAACACUGACGCUGAGGAGCGAAAGCCAGGGGAGCAAACGGG